AUGCUAGAAUGGUUAUUGCCUUCACAUGGAUCUAGCGACCUCAGUGCCAUCUCGUCUUCUUCGAGCAUAAGAAGGUUUGACUAAACGCUGUCAGGUCGCGCUGAGAUACCGGCCGCGAAGCUCUCCAUAUCAAAAAUGGCGUAACAAGGGGACAAGCCGCUAAACUUCUCGAGAGCCGGUACUAUGAAACAGCUAUUUCACAACGCCCAACGUAUCCUGUGAACACGCUAAUAUUAUACAGUCCGUAAUUAACAUGUGUUUUGAGAGAAGUGUUUGACGUAAGAAAAAUUGAAGCCUACCUUAUUUCACAGCCAUAUUGCGAAGAGAUACUUGGCCGCAUUUCAUAAACCACGGUCGUGAUAAAUAAAAUGUCUGCAUCCUUGACAGUGCUGAUUCUUUUCGAAGAAAAAAGAGUGUAAUGUGAGUACAAUUGACAAGGGAAUUGUCAAAUGCUCAUGCGACGUCAGCUUGUUGAAGUACUGAGUUGCUGCGUUGCGGGUAGCAGGUGGCAGGUGGCAUAUGUUUCAAUCAGUUCAUCACCGGUGAGUCCGUUCCAUUAUGCUUCUAUAAGAGUUUGUUAGGAAUUAUAGGGCAGAGUCGAAGACACACACACGCACGCACACACACACACACACAUA